rnacentral:rRNA from 1 species
AAUCAACGCUGGCGGCGUGCCUCAGACAUGCAAGUCGAACGCGAAAGUCCCCUUCGGGGAGUGAUUAGAGUGGCGCACGGGUGAGUAACACGUAGGUAAUCUACCUUCGAGUGGGGAAGUAACUCAGGGAAACGUUAGAGCUAAUACCGCAUAAUGCAGCGGCACCACAUGGUGACAGUUGUUAAAGCAUUUAUGCGCUUGAAGAGGAGCCUGCGGCGGAUAGCUAGUUGGUAAGGUAAUGGCUUACCAAGGCUACGAUCUGUAACCGGCCUGAGAGGGCGGACGGUCACACUGACACUGAAUAACGGGUCAGACUCCUACGGGAGGCAGCAGUCGGGAAUUUUGGG